CUGGCGGCGUGCCUAACACAUGCAAGUCGAACGAAGCACUGUGGAAAGAGACUCGGUCAAUUGAAACUUGACUUAGUGGCGGACGGGUGAGUAAUGCAUGAGCAACCUGCCCUGGAGAGGGGGGACAACAGCUGGAAACGGCUGCUAAUACCGCAUGAUGUCGUCGGGGGGCAUCCCUUGACGACCAAAGAUUUAUCGCUCUGGGAUGGGCUCAUGUCUGAUUAGAUAGUUGGCGGGGUAACGGCCCACCAAGUCUGCGAUCAGUAGCCGGACUGAGAGGUUGAACGGCCACAUUGGGACUGAGAUACGGCCCAGACUCCUACGGGAGGCAGCAGUGGGGAAUAUUGGGCAAUGGGCGCAAGCCCUGACCCAGCAACGCCGCGUGAAGGAAGAAGGCUUUCGGGUUGUAAACUUCUUUUAUCAGGGACGAAGAAAGUGACGGUACCUGAUGAAUAAGCCACGGCUAACUACGUGCCAGCAGCCGC
rnacentral:rRNA from 1 species